CUACACACACACACACACACUCAACCUACGGUAUUUCACAGACAUGCAACUUUCAAAUCCUAAUGAUCAUCUAAUCUCAGUUGUCUGCUUGUGAGAAGGGUGACUCAUUCCUUCAGAGAGGAAGAGGGAAGGAGUACCUACCUGCUGCCAGCUUCUGUGAUUGAUUAGUUACUGCCCUGACUAGGGAUGGGACAAGAACCGGUUCUCGAUUCCCAUCCCUAGUGGCAGCAAAUUGCAGAGGAGUUAUAUCAGAAGUCUCAGUUUCCCCAUUGCCUGGGUGCCAUUGAUGGGAAACACAUCAUCAUACAGCUACCAGCACACAGCAGAAGCAACUUCUGCAACUACAAAUGACGCUCCUCCUUGCAGAUGAUAGCUGUUGUUGAUGCGACAUACCAAUUCAGGUUUUGGUUUCAGGAGAUUUCAAAUUAAGGUCCAUGAGGUAGUCACCUGGAAUGGUUUCCCAACAGUCUUGAAGGAGUUCCCAGAGGUGUUGAGGACUUGUCUGCUUUUCCUUCACUCUGCAGUUCAACACAUCCCAAAUCAUUUCGUGUGGGUUAAGGUUGGGUGAUGGUGCAGGCCAGGUCUCGCCUUCUGUGCGUCUCACAAAGACAUGGCAGUUGGAACCAAAAAUCUCAGAUUUGGACUCAUCAGACCAAAGUAAAGAUUUCCACUGGUC